rnacentral:rRNA from 1 species
UACGUAGGGACCAAGCGUUGUUCGGAUUUACUGGGCGUAAAGGGCGCGUAGGCGGCGCGGUAAGUCACUUGUGAAAUCUCUGAGCUUAACUCAGAACGGCCAAGUGAUACUGCAGUGCUAGAGUGUGGAAGGGGCAAUCGGAAUUCUUGGUGUAGCGGUGAAAUGCGUAGAUAUCGGGAGGAACACCCGUAGCGAAGGCGGCGCUCUGGGCCGGUACUGACGCUGAGGAGCGAAAGCGUGGGGAGCAAACAGG